CCUACGGGGUGCAGCAGUGAGGAAUAUUGGUCAAUGGUCGGGAGACUGAACCAGCCAAGCCGCGUGAGGGAGGAAGGUACAGAGUAUCGUAAACCUCUUUUGUCAGGUAACAAAGGCGGGGACGUGUCCCCGGAUGAGUGUACCUGAAGAAAAAGCAUCGCCUAACUCCGUUCCAGCAGCCGCGUUAAUACGGGGGAUGCGCGCGUUAUCCGGAUUUAUUGGGUUUAAAGGUUGCGCAGGCGGUCUGUUAAGUCAACGGUAAAGGCCCGGGGCUCACCCCCGGCCCGCCGUUGAAACUGGCAGUCUCGAGUUGGAGAGAAGUAUGCGGAAUGCGCGGUGUAGCGGUGAAAUGCAUAGAUAUCGCGCAGAACUCCGAUUGCGAAGGCAGCAUGCCGGCUCCAAACUGACGCUGAGGCACGAAAGCGUGGGUAUCGAACAGGAUUAGAUACCCUAGUAGUC
rnacentral:rRNA from 1 species